GACAGAGGCCUCAAGCGUUAGGCGGAAUCACUGGGCUUAAAGCGUGUGUAGGCGGGUCGUUAAGUACCUUGUGAAAUCCCACGGCUCACCCGUGGAACUGCUGGGUAUACUGGCGAUCUUGGGCCAACUAGGGGCAACUGGAACAAGCGGUGGAGCGGUGAAAUGCGUAGAUAUCGCUUGGAACGCCAAAGGUGAAAACAGGUUGCUGGGGUUGUGCC
rnacentral:rRNA from 1 species